rnacentral:rRNA from 1 species
CCUCGGAGAGUUUGAUCCUGGCUCAGGACGAACGCUGGCGGCGUGCCUAAUACAUGCAAGUCGAGCGAACAGAAGGGAGCUUGCUCCCGGAUGUUAGCGGCGGACGGGUGAGUAACACGUGGGUAACCUGCCUGUAAGACUGGGAUAACUCCGGGAAACCGGAGCUAAUACCGGAUAGUUCCUUGAACCGCAUGGUUCAAGGAUGAAAGACGGUUUCGGCUGUCACUUACAGAUGGACCCGCGGCGCAUUAGCUAGUUGGUGGGGUAAUGGCUCACCAAGGCGACGAUGCGUAGCCGACCUGAGAGGGUGAUCGGCCACACUGGGACUGAGACACGGCCCAGACUCCUACGGGAGGCAGCAGUAGGGAAUCUUCCGCAAUGGACGAAAGUCUGACGGAGCAACGCCGCGUGAGUGAUGAAGGUUUUCGGAUCGUAAAGCUCUGUUGUUAGGGAAGAACAAGUGCGAGAGUAACUGCUCGCACCUUGACGGUACCUAACCAGAAAGCCACGGCUAACUACGUGCCAGCAGCCGCGGUAAUACGUAGGUGGCAAGCGUUGUCCGGAAUUAUUGGGCGUAAAGGGCUCGCAGGCGGUUUCUUAAGUCUGAUGUGAAAGCCCCCGGCUCAACCGGGGAGGGUCAUUGGAAACUGGGAAACUUGAGUGCAGAAGAGGAGAGUGGAAUUCCACGUGUAGCGGUGAAAUGCGUAGAGAUGUGGAGGAACACCAGUGGCGAAGGCGACUCUCUGGUCUGUAACUGACGCUGAGGAGCGAAAGCGUGGGGAGCGAACAGGAUUAGAUACCCUGGUAGUCCACGCCGUAAACGAUGAGUGCUAAGUGUUAGGGGGUUUCCGCCCCUUAGUGCUGCAGCUAACGCAUUAAGCACUCCGCCUGGGGAGUACGGUCGCAAGACU